rnacentral:rRNA from 1 species
AGGCCUACACAUGCAAGUCGAGCGGCAGCGGGAAAGUAGCUUGCUACUUUUGCCGGCGAGCGGCGGACGGGUGAGUAAUGCCUGGGAAAUUGCCCAGUCGAGGGGGAUAACAGUUGGAAACGACUGCUAAUACCGCAUACGCCCUACGGGGGAAAGCAGGGGACCUUCGGGCCUUGCGCGAUUGGAUAUGCCCAGGUGGGAUUAGCUAGUUGGUGAGGUAAUGGCUCACCAAGGCGACGAUCCCUAGCUGGUCUGAGAGGAUGAUCAGCCACACUGGAACUGAGACACGGUCCAGACUCCUACGGGAGGCAGCAGUGGGGAAUAUUGCACAAUGGGGGAAACCCUGAUGCAGCCAUGCCGCGUGUGUGAAGAAGGCCUUCGGGUUGUAAAGCACUUUCAGCGAGGAGGAAAGGUUGAUGCCUAAUACGUAUCAACUGUGACGUUACUCGCAGAAGAAGC